rnacentral:rRNA from 1 species
CCCCUCAAGAUGAGAUUUCCCAUAGCUCUAAGCUAGUAAGAACCCUGAAAGAUGAUCAGGUUGAUAGGUCAGAGGUGGAAGCGUGGCGACAUGUGGAGCUGACUGAUACUAAUCGUUCGAGGACUUAUCCUA